GUAGAUUUCCUCAUAAUGACCUGGGGCUUGCUCCUCUUCACAAUCCUUGUGUCCAUCUUUGGUGAGGGAGAUUCAUUGGGUGUAUGGGGAAAAAAUCUGAUAUGAAGCAAAAUGUUUGAUGUAGAUUAAUGUGCUGAGCAGUUCCCUGCCUUGCUUCCUUCCAGGUCCCAGUGUCCAGCAGUUACAGACUUUGAAGGACCCAGAAUUUGUGGCACCAGGUGGGACAGUCACCAUGUCUUGCAGGUUCAACAGUGGAAACAUCGGUGAUGGCAACUACCCUUGGUGGGCACAGAAAAAACCUGGGAGUAGACCCCGACUGAUAAUGUACGACACCAGCACCCGAGCGUCUGACGUUCCAGCCCGUUUCUCUGGGUCUCGAUCGGGGAAUGUGAUGUCCCUGACCAUCACGGGGGCCCUUCUGGAAGAUGAAGCUGCUUAUUACUGUGUUGUAUGGACUGGGAGUCAGUG